CUGAACCAGCCAAGUAGCGUGAAGGAUGACUGCCCUAUGGGUUGUAAACUUCUUUUAUAAAGGAAUAAAGUCGGGUAUGCAUACCCGUUUGCAUGUACUUUAUGAAUAAGGAUCGGCUAACUCCGUGCCAGCAGCCGCGGUAAUACGGAGGAUCCGAGCGUUAUCCGGAUUUAUUGGGUUAAAAGGGAGCGUAGAUGGAUGUUUAAGUCAGUUGUGAAAGUUUGCGG
rnacentral:rRNA from 1 species